rnacentral:tRNA from 3 species
GCGGGUAUGGUGAAAUGGUAUCAUACGAGUUUUCCAAACUUAAGGCGCGGGUUCGAUUCCCGCUACCCGCUCCA